AAAAACGGACACCUUUUCAUCAAAACGACUUUAUAUUGAAGGGGUGCCUUUGAGUUGACAUCUUGUACAUGCGCAGUUCGGAGCGUGACGACCGUUAGACCCGUGUCUGCGCAUGAGAUUUGCUAGCUAUCUUCAUACUGUACUGUAUUCGGCUAUAAUUCCAUCUGGUAGGUUGCAUGCCGUAGGACAGCCCAACUAUGCUCCCUAGUGGUCAAGGCCAGAAUUUAAAAGACAUCAGAGAAGAAUGGAUCAAAGUUAGGCCUGUAUAAAGUUGAUAAAGAUGCAUUCAGUUCUGUUAUAAAAUAAUCACAUGACAUAUUGGGUGUUUUCAUGAGAGAAAUUGGAGUUUAUGUCUACUCCACCGAGAACAAGUGGAGUUGGUGCACUUGGCUACUUCGUCCCGACUCUUUCGUUUUGCUCAACACCACCGCAUUGACAAAGACGGAUCCAAUGCGCGGUAGGCUACAGAGGGAAGAAAGGACAACACACGGAUUAUAUUUCCACGAGGAGGAAAAUAAAUCGAUUAAAAAAAGAAAUUAUUCUGCUUUAAAGGUCUCCUCUGCAGCCUCUGCUCUGUCCUGACUGAGAGCCACUGGUGUGUUGCCCACUUUCCCACUGCAUCAUGGGUACCUUCUCCAGCAAGGAUGGCCAUGGACCCACAGGGCCCAGCUUGGAUUUGUUCCAAACCCCUCCUACUUCUCCAGUGACCUCCACCCUGCCUGCUCUCACUCCGAUCACACCCUCUACACCAGGCCAGCCGGCAGCCCCAGUACCAGUCACAGCCCUAUCCCCAGCACCAGUCACAGCCCUAUCCCCAGCACCAGUCACAGCCCUAUCCCCAGCACCAGUCACAGCCCUAUCCCCAGUACCAGUCACAGCCCUAUCCCCAGCACCAGUCACAGCCCUAUCCCCAGCACCAGUCACAGCCCUGUCCCCAGCACCAGUCACAGCCCUAUCCCCAGUACCAGUCACAGCCCUAUCCCCAGUACCAGUCACAGCCCUAUCCCCAGCACCAGUCACAGCCCUAGCCCCAACUCCAGGCCCAGCACCAGUCACAGCCAUAGCCCCAGCUCCAGGCCCAGCACCAGUUACAGCCCUAGCCCCAGCCCUAAGUGGGAAGAGACUCCUGCCCGUCAGCCCAGGCUACUCUGUGAUUGGUCCUGGGUUUAUCUCCCUGCAAGGAAGGACAGGAAGUAAUGAAGCAGUGCCUAAAGGGCGGGUUGUGAUGGGGUGUAAUGGAGGCCCCAUCAGGUCUAGUCCCAGGAUCCCUGUACCUCAGGGGAAGAGCUCAUCGAUGAGCCCCACCAAGACUCCUUCAUCCCUGGGUAGCUCCCUGUCCUCGGCCAGCCCGAUUAGCCUGGUCAGCCCCUCGGAGCAGAGCAAGAAGGACAGUGGGCUGAGCCUGACCACGCUGGAGCACCAUGGGGCUGCAGACAACCAGGGUGAGAUUGAGAGGCUGGUGGAGGAGUGUAGGACAGCACUGGGUCUCAGUCCCAGUCAGUAUGCAACACUAAACAGCGCAGAUGUGUUGAAGCAUCUGCUAGUGGAGCGCCAGGAGUUGACCGCUGAGGUCCAGAGUCUGCGGGAGACCAUGCAGACGGAGCGAGUGGAGUGGCACCAGUUCCAGUCUGACCUGCAGGUGGCGGUAGCAGUGGCCGACCGGCUGAGGGCCGAGGCCGAGGAGGAGCUGAACGCGCUCAGAGCGGCUCAGGUGGAUACAGAGCGGGAGCUGGAGGCUGCCCAGCAGAGACAGAAAGAGACUGAUGGGCAGCUGGUCAGCCUGAGAGGAGAGCUGAGGGAGAGCAGGCAGAGACUGGUCCACCUCACCCAGAACCAGGGACCAGGACAGGCCCAGGCUCAAGCCAAGACCCAGGGCAUGGAGAGGGCUACUGGGGAGACCAGCACACUAGAGACCCAGGAGGGGACACACCGGGGAAGGGAGAGGGGGAUCAGCAGGUUUGGCCGAGGAAGAGGAGAUGACAAGAUGGAGAAGAGGAGCCAGGAAGAAGGGAAUAAGAAUAUAAGUGUGAAAGAGGCUCGAACGGACACUAAGGGCGUGGCCAACAGGUACUUGAGGAACGUGACCAAUGAGGAGAGGAGUGGAGAGGAAGGUUGUAGCAUGAGGGAGACACGGAGGAUAGUCACACAGGAGAGGGCAAGAAGCCUUUCCAGACUACCCGCAUCUUCAGACUCCCCUGCUGUAAUGAAUGGAACAUCCCAGUCCAAUACUGCCACAAUAGCUGGAUCUACAAACAAGAACCAAAGCCAAACCAGAGGAAGAAAAGGGCUAGAAUGGCAAGACAGCUGGUCCAGCACUCACACAGGGAAACAGGAGGAGGCAUUGAACCAGUACAACUCUGCCCUGGCAGAGCUGCCCCCUAACACGACCUCUAAGACCAGGUCUCAGGAUGGCUUUAAUCUGCUGCUACGCCGCCAUGGAGGCUCCAAGAGGAACUCUCUUCUGCGCUGGUGUCAGAGCCGCACUCAGGGCUACAAGAAUAUUGACAUCACUAACUUCAGCAGUAGCUGGGCGGAUGGUCUGGCCUUCUGUGCUGUGUACCACACCUACCUCCCCUCACACAUCCCCUACUGCACCCUUAGCCCUGACAACAAGAGCGAGAACCUCAGCCUGGCAUUUAAGACGGGAGAGAAUGUUGGAAUCACAACAUCACUGACCAUGGAGGAGAUGCUGAGGGCCGGAGGACCAGACUGGCAAAGAGUUCUGGGAUACGUGGAGUGCAUGUACCGUCACUUUGAGAUGUAACGCCCAGGACUGUGUGCUUGAGGGAAACAUCGGCGGGAGGUACAGUUCACUGCUAUUGGUGGAAGGAUGGGGAGUGUGAGUCACUCCUCUACUAGCUGAUAUGGUCAUUGAUUGCCAUGUAGAGAAAGUUAGGCUUUGUUGGCACAACAGAGCCCCCUUCUGGUCAAGAGUGCAGGUGCAGGUUGCUGUAAAUGUCUACACUGGGACCCCAUCAGAAGGUUACACAAAGUAACUGAUCUUAUCAUACCAAACCUUUGCUUGACUCCUAAACUUUUUCUCAGCAGUGCCAUCUAAAGCUGCUGAUCUGUGUCCAGUGCCUUUAGUACCACAGUCUUCCAUUUAAAACAUGUUCAUGUUUUCUAUCCAUUUUAGCACUCUGUAAAUAUGCACUUUUAAUAAGCACUUUGAUGAUUGUAAUUUAAAGGAUGAAGGAGGAAAAGGAGUGUAUGGAUGCAGUCUCCCUGUCUAGCAAUCCAUUGAUUCUUAUAUUGCUGUCCAGCAGGGAGACUGAAGUGCUUUAUUACAGUGACAUGACUUGGGAAAUCAUAGGGGAGGCCUUGGUUUGUAUGGUCUUUGUCUCCAUCUACUGGGGUCUUCAAAGUUGACAAGUUAUAGCCAUUGUAGUGAUUAGUACUGUGAUUAAAAACAAAACAAAUGUAAUAAUUGAAAGGUUUUUUCAAAGAUUAUUACAGAAGAACCAUAAUCACACAGAGACACACACACACACACACACACACACACACAAUGACCGACUAAGAAAAUAUCCCACCCAGCUGCUGCCCUCUUGUCACCUGUAUUAAUCUGUUCCCAGGUGGUAAUGGAAAGAUCACGUCCAUUUAUUACAUACAGUUGAAGUCGGAAGUUUACAUACACUUAGGUUGGAGU